rnacentral:rRNA from 1 species
UACGGAGGGGACUAGCGUUGUUCGGAAUUACUGGGCGUAAAGCGCACGUAGGCGGAUUUGUAAGUCAGGGGUGAAAUCCCGGGGCUCAACCUCGGAACUGCCUUUGAUACUGCGAAUCUCGAGUCCGGAAGAGGUGAGUGGAAUUCCUAGUGUAGAGGUGAAAUUCGUAGAUAUUAGGAAGAACACCAGUGGCGAAGGCGGACUCACUGGUCCGGUACUGACGCUGAGGUGCGAAAGCGUGGGGAGCAAACAGG